rnacentral:rRNA from 1 species
CGGAUUNAAGGCUGAAAUUCGCCUUCAUGAAGCUGGAAUUGCUAGUAAUGGCAGGUCAGCAUACUGCCGUGAAUACGUUCCCGGGCCUUGUACACACCGCCCGUCACACCAUGAGAGUUGGGAAUACCCGAAGCCUGUGAGCUAACUUUACGAGGCAGCAGUCGAAGGUAGAAUCAAUGAUUGGGGUGAAGUCGUAACAAGGUAUC